CAAUAGCGUAUAUUAACGUUGUUGCAGUUAAAAAGCUCGUAGUUGGAUUUCUGGAGGGAGCGUCGGCCCGUAUUUACGAGUGCGUGACGUCUCUGUCCAUCCUUGCGGGAAGGCACGGCACUGACUUGUUGUGUCGGAUCGCAUCAUUUACUGUGAAAAAAUUAGAGUGUUCAAAGCAGGCUUUCGCUUGAAUACAUUAGCAUGGAAUAAUAAGAUAGGACUUUGGUGCUAUUUUGUUGGUUGAGCCUAAAGUAAUGAUUAAUAGGGAUAGUUGGGGGCACCUGUAUUGCGUUGUCAGAGGUGAAAUUCUUGGAUUUACGCAAGACAAACAGCUGCGAAAGCGUCUGCCAAGGAUGUUUUCAUUAA
rnacentral:rRNA from 1 species